rnacentral:misc_RNA from 1 species
GUGAGUCAUCGAAUCUUUGAACGCAAAUUGCGCUCUGGGGUUCCCCCCGGAGCAUGCCUGGUUGAGUAUCAUUAACCAACUCAUCUAAAGUCAAAGUUUGCUUUGCAAAUUUUUUCAAAGGAUGGAUCUGAGGUUGUCUUGGAUGAAACAAUUCCAAGUCCCUUCAAGUUUAGAGAUGUGCAACUGACGAAAACCCGUUUGGUUCACAACUUCUGAUGUGGUAAUUGUCCCAGUGGCAUUUUAUAUCAUCAGUUGCUUGUAGCUUUGGGGCCGUCAACCUCGCAUCCAAAGAUUAAAUUU